UAUCUAAAUAGCUUAAGAAAAGAGUACUUCAUUGAAGAUGAAGGGGUAAUGUUUAUUUUUAGAU
rnacentral:tRNA from 1 species